UAUUUUCAUAUAUCCUGUAUAAUGUGAUCAGUGUAAUAAGUGGUCAUUUAAUCUCCAUCAUAGUUAAUAGUUAUUUUGCUUACUGUUAUGAUGUAUGUCACGUUUAUUUGUGUUUUUCUGUUUUUCCAGACACUGCACUGGCUGUGGAUGUUGUUCAGCCCAGUCUCCUGAUGAGGGUUCAGCUUGGAGACAGUGUGACCCUGACAUGCUUCUGUCCAGAAGAAACAACUUUUGUUGCUUGGUUGAAGCAAGCUGUUGGUCAGAAGCCCCAGCUCAUGGCGAAAGCACCUCGCUACGUAUCUGGUAAAUUUGAUGAGGAAUAUGAAAAUAUAAAACGUUACUCCUUACAGAAUGCAAAGGGGAGUUUUAACCUCACUAUUUCCAACGCGGAGCCGUCAGAUUCUGCAGUGUAUUAUUGUGCUGCUGUCUUUCUUCAUGAGGUCACUUUUGGGAAUGGAACCUUUGUCAUAAUCACAGAUCAGAAAAACAAUGAUGUAUCAAAAGUGGAAUGGUCACGUAAGCAGUACCAUGACGAGGACACACUGAAUUACGCUGCCCUGAACCUUAAGAACCCAAAACCCAGGAGACAGAAGAAAGAUGGGAAUAAUGACACUCUGUAUUCUGACCUCCGCUACAGGGAUUAUGAAUAAAAAUGCUUCUCAUUCAUGUUAGUUAUACAGAGUGUUCAGGGUGUAGCUUUAAUAAUGUUCAGAAGGAGAGCAGGGGAGCCAGUGCUUCUGAGACUGAAUCACUGGAUUUUACGGAGCACCAGUGCUAGGUUUGGUGUCAGUGUCUUUGGGAUGCAUUUUUACUGGAAGUGCAAAUGUUCAGGCCAGACUGGGGGCUGAGGGAGGGGGAGAGGGGAGCCACAGAGGUUAUUUCUUCAUGGCAUGGGGGGAAUAAAUGGCUUUAAUGUUGUGGAAAGGCUGAGUUGCUGCAAUCAGUUCUUUGAUGCCACACUGCUUACUUGUCUCCCUUGUAUACCACGGUGAAUGGUUUGGGGCAAACACACAGCGACAGAUAGAUGAUGUUAAACAGACUAAAGAAAUUGAAUGAAAAUUUAAAGUGUUCUUAAAUUACAU